GACGAACGCUGGCGGCGUGCUUAACACAUGCAAGUCGAACGGAAAGGCCCUGGUUUUGUGGGGUGCUCGAGUGGCGAACGGGUGAGUAACACGUGAGUAACCUGCCCUGGACUUUGGGAUAACUUCAGGAAACUGGGGCUAAUACCGGAUAGGAGCUCCUGCUGCAUGGUGGGGGUUGGAAAGUUUCGGCGGUUGGGGAUGGACUCGCGGCGUAUCAGCUUGUUGGUGGGGUAGUGGCUUACCAAGGCUUUGACGGGUAGCCGGCCUGAGAGGGUGACCGGCCACAUUGGGACUGAGAUACGGCCCAGACUCCUACGGGAGGCAGCAGUGGGGAAUAUUGCACAAUGGGCGGAAGCCUGAUGCAGCAACGCCGCGUGCGGGAUGACGGCCUUCGGGUUGUAAACCGCUUUCGCCUGUGACGAAGCGUGAGUGACGGUAAUGGGUAAAGAAGCACCGGCUAACUACGUG
rnacentral:rRNA from 1 species